rnacentral:rRNA from 1 species
UACGUAGGUGACAAGCGUUGUCCGGAUUUACUGGGCGUAAAGAGCGCGCAGGCGGUCGUUCAAGUCGAGUGUGAAAGCCCCCGGCUCAACUGGGGAGGGUCACUCGAUACUGAUCGACUCGAAGGCAGGAGAGGGUAGUGGAAUUCCCGGUGUAGUGGUGAAAUGCGUAGAUAUCGGGAGGAACACCAGUGGCGAAGGCGACUACCUGGCCUGUUCUUGACGCUGAGGCGCGAAAGCUAGGGGAGCAAACGGGGAUU